UGACAAGAAGCUAUGAGGAUAUUGGUAUUUGGCAGAGGGCCCUCUCCUUUCCCUCUCUUUGCUGGAACUCUCUCUUAAGGAACUUCUCCUGGUUUUACUGCCUUGGGCAUGGCCCUGUCAACAUCAUCUGUUCUGUUAUUUUGAAGUAAGGGAAGCUAAAGUUUGACAAGAAGAGUCAAGAUCUCAGAGGCAAAAACUGAGAGCACUUUUUCCUUUCUUUGAACCUUGUGGCAUAUGGGUGAAACUUGGGUGCCAUAAGAAGAAUACAUCCUGGCUAGCCAGCUGGUUCCAGGGAGAUGAGAAGUUUGUAGAUUAGUCUGAGAGUUAACCUACAGAUUAGAGCUGCUUAGAUGAAAUUCAUCAAAUCAGCUCAUCUACCUACUCAUUCAAACUGUAGAUAUGUAGGCAAAAUAAAAUGCUUAUUGUUAUUUGUCACUGAAA